AGGAUGAUUUAUAUCCUGGGCAGAAUGGAGUAGGACAGUGAAAGAUUUCACCAACAUAUUCAGAACAGCAUGUAAUUUAAAACUUGUAAGUUUUUUAUUUUUGGAAUUUUCCAUUUAAUAUUUUUGGACCAUGGUUGAUCGAAGAUUUUGAAGUUGGGAGAAGUGGCAAAACGUGAAAAGCAAGAAGCAAAUAUUACCAGAGACACCUAUGAAAAAGAAAUCUUUCUGAAGAACAUUUUUAAAGUGCCAUAAUCUGUUCGGUGAAAAUGCUAUUUUACAUGGAAACCUAUUUUGUUCCAUAAAACUAAAUAAACCAUAACCCAGAAGCGCAAUGAGACACACACAGCAUGACCACAUUAUUUCUGAAAGCUGAAGAGUUGCCAGUCUGUUGAUCUCAAGCUUCAUGAACCACACAGUUCAGUUCAAAUUGUUUCCCUGAAAUUGCUUUGAGCCUCUGCCAAACAGCCACUGAAGGACUCCGAAAAAUACAAGAACUGAAAGGGGCACAUGGCAGAUAUAAUCAUAAACUUUCAUUUCGGAGAGCAGUAAAAAAGGAGAAGAAGAACACACUGGUACUCCAACAAGUCACAGUUUCUGCCAGAUGUUGCAAAAAUCAAAUGUCCACGGAAACCCAAUCAGCAACACUACUUUCAAAGUGUCUUUUGACAAGUAAUAUGUGCAUUUUACAAAUCCAAAAGCAAUAUUUGAAGUAGCUCUUCAAAACAGCUGCAUUACUCAAAGCUAUCUCUGUAUCAUCACCUUGUUUCCUGGAAGAAAAUGUGGAAAUGUGUACUAAAAAUGUGUAAAUGAUUAAAGUAUCAGU